UUCUCAGUUCGGAUCGGAGUCUGNAACCCGACUCCGUGAAGCUGGAUUCGCUAGUAAUCGCGCAUCAGCCAUGGCGCGGUGAAUACGUUCCCGGGCCUUGUACACACCGCCCGUCAAGCCAUGGGAGCCGGGGGCGCCUGAAGUCCGGGACCGCGAGGACCGGCCUAGGGCGAAACUGGUAACUGGGGCUAAGUCGUAACAAGGUAUC
rnacentral:rRNA from 1 species